rnacentral:rRNA from 1 species
GAUGAACGCUAGCGGCAGGCUUAAUACAUGCAAGUCGAGGGGCAGCAUGAUUGUAGCAAUACAAUUGAUGGCGACCGGCAAACGGGUGCGGAACACGUACACAACCUUCCAACAAGUGGGGGAUAGCCCAGAGAAAUUUGGAUUAAUACCCCGUAACAUAGCGAUGUGGCAUCACAUUGCUAUUAUAGAUUUUUCGCUUGUUGAUGGGUGUGCGGCUGAUUAGAUAGUUGGCGGGGUAACGGCCCACCAAGUCUACGAUCAGUAGCUGAUGUGAGAGCAUGAUCAGCCACACGGGCACUAAGACACGGGCCCGACUCCUACGGGAGGCAGCAGUAAGGAAUAUUGGAAAAUGGACGCAAGUCUGAUCCAGCCAUGCCGCGUGAUGGAUUAAGGUCCUCUGGAUUGUAAACUUCUUUUAUAAGGGACGAAAAAAGGCUUUUCUAAGUCGUCUGACGGUACCUUAUGAAUAAGCACCGGCUAACUCCGUGCCAGCAGCCGCCGUAAUAC